GUCAACUCAAGCCACUUACCUCCUAAAGACUCAUUGUAGUAAUUGGCCAAACCCUCUGGACAGGCACUGUCGAGUAGAAAAUUCAUCCUGAGACCAGAUUGCUUGUGUUAUUUAUGCUGCUGCUUAUCUCGGCGCCUUUAUGGAAAUGUGUUUCUUGUUGUCUGCACCAGGGAGAUGCCAAAGCUGUGUGACUCAUCAGAGGGUCAUGGACGGUGCCUUCCGUGUUUGUCUGAGGCCUGCAGUGUGUGAGCCAGGGGCAGUCAGCGAGGAACAAUACAGUGUUCUCCCCUCCGAAUCUUGUAUGUUGGUGGGGAGGCUUCUGGUCCAAGACUCUGUGCUCCUCACUUUUAGCACCUGAUUUCUUAACGCUCUGUAAGCAUUUCUAACCAUUCAACCGUUCUUGUUGGGACCCCCAACUCGUGGGUGUACAAGGCAUCUCAGAGACCUCAGCUCUAUUAGAUAAGAUACCACUU
rnacentral:lncRNA from 1 species